GACGAACGCUGGCGGCGUGCUUAACACAUGCAAGUCGAACGGAAAGGCCCUGCUUUUGUGGGGUGCUCGAGUGGCGAACGGGUGAGUAACACGUGAGUAACCUGCCCUUGACUUUGGUAUAACUUCAGGAAACUGGGGCUAAUACCGGAUAGGAGCUCCUGCUGCAUGGUGGGGGUUGGAAAGUUUCGGCGGUUGGGGAUGGACUCGCGGCUUAUCAGCUUGUUGGUGGGGUAGUGGCUUACCAAGGCUUUGACGGGUAGUCGGCCUGAGAGGGUGACCGGCCACAUGGGGACUGAGAUACGGCCCAGACUCCUACGGGAGGCAGCAGUGGGGAAUAUUGCACAAUGGGCGGAAGCCUGAUGAAGCAACGCCGCGUGCGGGAUGACGGCCUUCGGGUUGUAAAACGCUUUCGCCUGUGACGAAGCGUGAGUGACGGUAAUGGGUAAAGAAGCACCGGCUAACUACGUG
rnacentral:rRNA from 1 species